rnacentral:rRNA from 1 species
UGCAAGUCGAGCGGUAGCACAGGAGAGCUUGCUCUUUGGGUGACGAGCGGCGGACGGGUGAGUAAUGUCUGGGAAACUGCCUGAUGGAGGGGGAUAACUACUGGAAACGGUAGCUAAUACCGCAUGAUGUCGCAAGACCAAAGUGGGGGACCUUCGGGCCUCACGCCAUCGGAUGUGCCCAGAUGGGAUUAGCUAGUAGGUGAGGUAAUGGCUCACCUAGGCGACGAUCCCUAGCUGGUCUGAGAGGAUGACCAGCCACACUGGAACUGAGACACGGUCCAGACUCCUACGGGAGGCAGCAGUGGGGAAUAUUGCACAAUGGGCGCAAGCCUGAUGCAGCCAUGCCGCGUGUGUGAAGAAGGCCUUAGGGUUGUAAAGCACUUUCAGCGAGGAGGAAGGCGUUGCAGUUAAUAGCUGCAGCGAUUGACGUUACUCGCAGAAGAAGCACCGGCUAACUCC